GACGAACGCUGGCGGCGUGCCUAAUACAUGCAAGUCGAGCGGACUUUCAAGAAGCUUGCUUUUUGAAAGUUAGCGGCGGACGGGUGAGUAACACGUGGGCAACCUGCCUGCAAGACGGGGAUAACUCCGGGAAACCGGGGCUAAUACCGGAUAAUAUCUUCCUUCGCAUGAAGGAAGGUUGAAAGGCGGCGCAAGCUGCCGCUUGCAGAUGGGCCCGCGGCGCAUUAGCUAGUUGGUGAGGUAACGGCUCACCAAGGCGACGAUGCGUAGCCGACCUGAGAGGGUGAUCGGCCACACUGGGACUGGGACACGGCCCAGACUCCUACGGGAGGCAGCAGUAGGGAAUCUUCCGCAAUGGACGAAAGUCUGACGGAGCAACGCCGCGUGAGCGAAGAAGGUCUUCGGAUCGUAAAGCUCUGUUGUCAGGGAAGAACAAGUACCGUUCGAACAGGGCGGUACCUUGACGGUACCUGACCAGAAAGCCACGGCUAACUACGUG
rnacentral:rRNA from 1 species